GAUUCAAUACACGUUCAUGCCUAAAUUACCCGCUAACACGCCUACUUCUAAAUUCAAACUCGUGGAACCAACACAACCACACACAAACUCAUCAACACUGCCACACACAAAAACUCAUCGACUAGCGCCCGCUCCGAAAAUACACACAGACAGACACCGCCACCACUCUCCCCUGGGCUUGCUUGUCAAUUUUUCUGUAUUUUGAUUUGCAGAUUAAGAAAUGCUUCACUCUUUAAAGUCGUGAUUAUUCUUAGAAUCACCGUAUUUUUAGACGUGCAAGUAGGCGACUUGUAAUGGCAAGCACAAUUUCUCCAUUGUUGACGUUACCACUUUUCAACUGUACUUCCUUCAAUCGCCAUUUUGUUAUGCAAUGUGGGCAUUUCCGAUUGAGAAAGUUAUUCAUGAAAAAUUCGCGGAAGUGUCCGACCAAUUCGUGGAUAUUUUCCACUCCGGCCUGGAGGCGUGGGCUCUGCAUUGUUGCCUCGGCCACAACCAAACAAUAUGGGGACGUCAUGGAAGUUUCUGCAAAGGAAUCUGAGCCUCCCUGUUACGCUUGGCCUGACAAUAACAAGAGACCAAGGGUCUGCAUACUAGGUGGUGGGUUUGGAGGGCUGUACACUGCACUACGAUUGGAAUCACUAACUUGGCCCGACGACAAGAAACCCCAGGUGGUUAUCAUUGACCAAUCUGAGCGCUUUAUUUUUAAGCCAUUACUGUAUGAGCUCCUUUCUGGAGAAGUAGAUGAAUGGGAAAUUGCUCCUCGCUUCUCAGACUUGCUGGCAAACACUGCUGUGCAAUUUUUUCAAGACAAAGUGAAAAGUUUACAUCCUCGCUAUCAUAUAGAAAAAAAUGGGCAUGCAGUAUCUGGCUCUGCAGGAGUAGUUCAUCUGGAAAGUGGUCUCCUUCUUGAAUACGACUGGUUGGUAAUUGCACUUGGAGCUGAAGCUAAACUUGACGUUGUACCGGGAUCAAUGGAAUAUGCAUAUCCAUUUUCUACCCUUGAGGACGCUUGUAGCGUUAAUGAGAAGCUUACAGCUUUGGAGCGCAAGUAUUUUGGUAAGGAAUCUUCGAUUCACAUUACUGUUGUAGGAUGCGGAUACUCUGGAGUUGAGUUGGCUGCCACUAUAGCAGAAAGACUACAAGCUAGGGGAUGUGUACAGGCAAUUAAUGUCGGAAAAACAAUCUUGCCAAAUGCUCCACCUGGCAAUAGGGAAUCUGCUUCAAAAGUUCUAUCAUCCAGGAAUGUUCAACUUUUACUGGGUUACUUUGUACGCUGUAUAAGGAGAAACGGUGAUAUUGAAACUUCACAUGAACUCUCCAAUGUUGAAGCUGAUCAUGAUGAUCCUGAAAGAUUUGUACUGGAGUUAGAGCCUGCUGAAAGGGGCUUAAAAAGUCAAACUGUGGAAGCAGAUUUAGUUCUAUGGACCAUUGGGUCUAAACCUCUACUUCCUCAAUUAGAAACUGUCGAUCAGCUGCUUGAUCUUUCUCUAAAUUCUAGGGGCCAAGCAGAAACAGAUGAAACUCUUCGUGUUAAGGGUCAUCCUCGUAUAUUUGCACUGGGAGAUUCUUCUGCUUUAAGAGACAGAAGCGGAAAAUUGCUUCCGGACACUGCACAGGUAGCAUUCCAGCAGGCAGAUUUUGCAGCUUGGAAUCUCUGGGCUGCAAUAAACGACCGACCACUGUUACCAUUUAGUGUUCUUGCUGCAGAUUUCAGAAUUUAGGUGAGAUGAUGACUCUUGGGAGAUAUGAUGCUGCUGUUACACCAAGUUUCAUCGAGGGGCUAACUUUAGAUGGUCCCAUUGGUCACACAGCCAGGAAAGUUGCAUACUUAAUCAGAUUACCAACAGAUGAGCACCGGUUUAAAGUUGGGAUCAGUUGGCUAACUAAAUCGGCUGUAGAGUCUGCUGCAUUCGUGCAGAAUACCUUAACCAAAAUGCUUUCAGGAUCUUAGAAUGAUCAGUAUCAUACGCUAUACAUUUCGAGUUCAUUUAUUUUUCUUAGUUCCUAUAUAAUUGUAAUAUUAAUUUCUCAGCCUAUAACAUGGAUCAUAUUGUUCCCAUAUUGUAGAAGUCAAUCCUUUCUUGUGAUUGAAUAAUUGUGAAGUCAAAUUCAAGAAAUGAAAAGGUUGAAAAAGUGAUCGUAAAGUACUCUUU